UACGGAGGGUGCAAGCGUUAUCCGGAUUCACUGGGUUUAAAGGGUGCGUAGGUGGGUUGGUAAGUCAGUGGUGAAAUCCCCGGGCUCAACCUGGGAACUGCAUUUGAUACUAUUAGUCUUGAAUGUUGUUGAGGUGGGCGGAACGGGUCAUGUAGCGGUGAAAUGCAUAGAUAUGACCCGGAACACCGAUUGCGAAGGCAGCCCGCUAAGCAACUAUUGACGCUGAGGCACGAAAGCGUGGGGAUCAAACAGG
rnacentral:rRNA from 1 species